rnacentral:sRNA from 1 species
GAUGACUUACUGGGAAAAGAGUCUCCCAGCAAAGACUCUGAGCCAAGUUGCUGGGGGAAGAAGAAGAAAAAGAAAAAGAGGACUCCACAAGAAGAUCAAUGGGAUGGAGUUGGUCCUAUCCCAGGACUGUCGAAGUCCCCCAAAGGGGUUGAGAUGCUGUGGCACCCAUCGGUGGUAAAACCAUAUCUGACUCUUCUAGCAGAAAGUUCCAACCCAGCCACCUUGGAAGGCUCUGCAGGGUCUCUCCAGAACCUCUCUGCUGGCAACUGGAAGUUUGCAGCAUAUAUCCGGGCGGCCGUCCGAAAAGAAAAGGGGCUACCCAUCCUUGUGGAGCUUCUGAGAAUGGAUAACGAUAGAGUUGUUUCUUCUGUGGCAACUGCCUUGAGGAAUAUGGCACUAGAUGUUCGCAACAAGGAGCUCAUAGAAACUAACAUGUUGCCACCGUUGUCAGAUGAGUUGCUGUACACCUCAGCUCUAUACACAAAAAUGUGUAACUGUACCCAGUUCAUACAUUAAGAUCCAGAAAGAUCUAACGAAAAGUAUUGUUUGGCAGCCUGACUUGGUCCAGAUUCAAAGGUAA